rnacentral:misc_RNA from 1 species
CCGAUGUUACCAAAUCCAAACCACUGUGAACCUACCACUUAGCUGCUUCGGCGGCGAUCCAGGCCGGAUCCCGGCUCCUUAACGGGGUGCUCGCCAGCGGCCACUUCUAACUCUGUUUCUAUGUAACGGUUCUGAGUGUAAACCAUAAAUAAUCA